AUUGAACGCUGGCGGCAGGCUUAACACAUGCAAGUCGAGCGGAGAUGAGGUGCUUGCACCUUAUCUUAGCGGCGGACGGGUGAGUAAUGCUUAGGAAUCUGCCUAUUAGUGGGGGACAACAUUCCGAAAGGGAUGCUAAUACCGCAUACGUCCUACGGGAGAAAGCAGGGGAUCUUCGGACCUUGCGCUAAUAGAUGAGCCUAAGUCGGAUUAGCUAGUUGGUGGGGUAAAGGCCUACCAAGGCGACGAUCUGUAGCGGGUCUGAGAGGAUGAUCCGCCACACUGGGACUGAGACACGGCCCAGACGCCUACGGGAGGCAGCAGUGGGGAAUAUUGGACAAUGGGGGGAACCCUGAUCCAGCCAUGCCGCGUGUGUGAAGAAGGCCUUAUGGUUGUAAAGCACUUUAAGCGAGGAGGAGGCUACUGAGACUAAUACUCUUGGAUAGUGGACGUUACUCGCAGAAUAAGCACCGGCUAACUCUGUGCCAGCAGCCGCAGUAACAC
rnacentral:rRNA from 1 species